rnacentral:rRNA from 1 species
AUUGAACGCUGGCGGCAGGCCUAACACAUGCAAGUCGAACGAAUGGCGGACGGGUGAGUAAUGUCUGGGAAACUGCCUGAUGGAGGGGGAUAACUACUGGAAACGGUAGCUAAUACCGCAUACCAUCCGAUGUGCCCAGAUGGGAUUAGCUAGUUGGUGGGGUAACGGCUCACCAAGGCGCCGAUCCCUAGCUGGUCUGAGAGGAUGACCGGCCACACCGGAACUGAGAACAGGCCCAGAAUCCUACGGGAGGCAGCAGGGGGGAAUUUUGGCCAAAGGGCGAAAGCCUGACUGAGCCACGCCGCGGGUGUGAAGAAGGUCUUAGGGUUGUAAAAUUCUUUUGUGGGGGAGGCGGUACCCCCCCAAGAAGCCACGGGUAACUCCGUGCCAGCAGCCGCGGUAAUAC